rnacentral:misc_RNA from 1 species
UUGCCGUAGGUGAACCUGCGGAAGGAUCAUUAAAGAGUAAGGGUCUUCGGGCCCGAUCUCCAACCCUUUGUUUAACUACCAUGUUGCUUUGGCGGGCCCGUCUCACGACCGCCGGAAGUUUGGCUUCGACCAAACUUCUGGCCCGUGCCCGUCAGUGGCCCCUUCAAAUUCUUGAUCAAGUAUGAUGUCUUAGUUAAAAACUUAAUAGUUAAAACUUUCAACAACGGAUCUCUUGGUUCUG